UGAGGUCAAGAACGGAUAAUUGAUACGUUGCUGGAAUGCGCGAUCGAUGAAAGCUCAGCGCGAGGAUGGGGCUGCGGCGGAUUAGGUUGUUGGCGGGGUAAAAGCCCACCAAGCCGAUGAUCCGUAAGGGCCUUUAGCGAGGAAGCCCUGAGAGGGAGUCUGAGACACUACUCCCAGCCCUACGGGGUGCAGCAGUCGGGAAAAUUUUGCAAUGCGCGCAAGCGUGACAGAGCAAGCCAGAGUGCGGUUCCGUUUGGAACUGCUUUUGUGCGAUCUAGACAGUCGCACGAAUAAGGACUGGGAGAGACUGGUGCCAGCCGCCGCGGUAAUCCCAGCAGUCCAAGUCGCAGCCACAUUUGUUGGGUCUAAAACAUCCGUAGCUUGCUUCGUAAGUCUCGUGUGAAAUCGGGCCUCUUAAGGGUCCGGCGGGCACAAGAUACUGCGAAGCUAGAGACCGGGAGGCGCAGGAAGUACUCUAGGGGUAGCGGUAAAAUGUGUUGAUCCUUAGGGGACUAACAGUCGCGAAGGCGUCCUGCGAGAACGGAUCUGACAGUGAGGGAUGAAGGCUAGGGGCGCAAAGUGGAUUAGAUACCCAUGUAGUCCUAGCAGUAAACACUGCACA
rnacentral:rRNA from 1 species